CCCAACAACAACACUUAAAGCAUUUACUCCUCUCAUAUAUUAUGACAUAUUUUUUUUCAUUCUAGAGUAUUUAUUAUGUUUCUAUGUUAUUAAUAUUGUUUAUAAUAUCAUAUUAGAUGAAUUGUGAUAGAUAAAUAAGCCGUAGAGGUGAUAUUAGCUUCAUAUUGAAGCAUAAUAAACUUGCCUUCCUCUUGCCUCCUAUGUGUCUACCAUACACCAACAAGUCAAGUCAAUAAAGACCAUAUUUGUGCAGGCAUGGUACCCCAUUACAGUUGCAACAAAUUCUCGGAUUCAGAAGCAAAUUAUUCACCAGUACCUGAAGGACACGAACGACAACUUGGAUCAACUUCACUUUAUGCUGCAUGACUUUGGAUACCGAGGGGCAUCUUCUGUAGAGAGUGCUGCUAUUGGUGGGGCAUCCCAUCUGGUGAACUUUAAGGUGAGUAUUGAUAACUUCAUU